GGGGCCCGCGCGCGGAUCGGGUUGCGAAGAUAAUUAAAGAUUUACACACAGCUGGAAGAAAUCAUAGAGAAGCCGGGCGUGGUGGCUCAUGCCUAUAAUCCCAGCACUUUGGGAGGCUGAGGCGGGCAGAUCACUUGAGAUCAGGAGUUCAAGACCAGCCUGGUGCCUUGGCAUCUCCCAAUGGGGUGGCUUUGCUCUGGGCUCCUGUUCCCUGUGAGCUGCCUGGUCCUGCUGCAGGUGGCAAGCUCUGGGAACAUGAAGGUCCUGCAGGAGCCCACCUGCGUCUCUGACUACAUGAGCAUCUCUACUUGCGAGUGGAAGAUGAAUGGUCCCACCAAUUGCAGCACCGAGCUCCGCCUGUUGUACCAGCUGGUUUUUCUGCUCUCCGAAGCCCACACGUGUGUCCCCGAGAACAACGGAGGCGCGGGGUGCGUGUGCCACCUGCUCAUGGAUGACGUGGUCAGUGCGGACAAUUAUACACUGGACCUGUGGGCUGGGCAGCAGCUGCUGUGGAAGGGCUCCUUCAAGCCCAGCGAGCAUGGUGAGCAGGGCGGAGUGCGGCAGGGGUGGCUGGGUGUGUUCCCACAGCUGCCUGGGCUGAGGGUGGGGUG
rnacentral:sRNA from 1 species